UCUCUAUCUCUCUCCUUUUUUCUCACCCUCAGAAUUAAAUCACAUAGAUGUCUUCAUUGUUUCUCUCUCUGAUUUUGAUUUCAAAAUUUGAAAUUCCAUUCUCUCUCAUACCUCUUCCUCUUCUCCUUCCUCUUCCCACCACACAUCUUCCUCUUUCCACCAAGCUUUCUCUCUCUACAAGUUUGAUCUCCUAUGGUGAUUUUUGGAAUGUAGCCCCGGUGGUGAUUUCUACCAUCUGCCUUGAUCUCUGCCUCCUCUCUCUCUACGCAGCUAUCCUCCCUGCUGUGGGUUAGAAACCCAAUCAAGAGGGAGGAUGUUCCGAAGAUGGUAUGGGUCUUUCCCAAUUCUUCUAUUCGUGCAAUCGCUCUCGAAUUCUUAAUCGACCAAACCCAUCUGGGUUUUGUUACUUGCGUAACGUGGUUCGAUUGAAAUCGCUCUGAAAAACACAGGUAGGUGUUGGAUUUAAGAGAUUUCAAUCCCUAUCAGAAGUGUUUGUGAGUGAAAGAGAUGAGUUGUUUUGGAGCAUUCAAUUCUUGCAAAGAUAAAUCUGAGACUCAAACAGAAGGCAUAUUUGGCUUCUUGGAGACACUUAGACAUGUCUUAUGGAACUGGUGGAGCAAUAGCAAGUUGCAAGUCAUUGUUGGAAAUUUUAACAUUGUCGAGGAAGCAUCAUUGUAUCAGCGAAGUUUCGGUUCGGUUCUUAUCCGCGAGACAGUGAGUAUUCACUCUCAAUUUUUGGAUUUGAUGUUUUGAUUUCAAUAAAUUUCUUGAUUUCUAAUUUUUCUUAUUUGAAAUAUUGCAUUCCAGUAUAAAAAUUGUUAAUAUCUGUGUUUGAUAUCAAAGAGAAAGGAAAGAAGUCACCGAUUCCUUUGUUUUUUUCAGCUAUGUUAACUCACAAUUUCAUUAUUCUUUUUUGUUCUCCUCAAAGACGUUCGGUUCAUAGAAUUGUACAGCAUUUGAGGAUAAUAGAGUAUUUAACAAUUCCUCCAAAUUUGAGUUCAAAUUCACAAAUGAGACACAACUCUUGAUAAAACAAUGUAACCAAGAACAAUAAAAUAGCUAUACAUCAUCCACAAAAUAAAAAUUCAAUGAUAUGAUCAAUUUUUUUUUAAUAUGAUAUCACCGUUAUAUUAAUUUUUUUUUUUUUUAACAUCCAAUACCCAUUUACAAAUGAGUAAUAGUGUGAUAAGUAAAUUUGUUUAUCUUAUCAUCAUCUUUACAUUAGUGGAAUGGAUCCCAAUCAUUAAUUCAAUUUGUUUUUAUGGGAUGAUAGAUAGUGGUAUCAUGGCUCAGCACAACCCAUAUGUUGCACAUAUUGUUUUAUAGUUUGGCAACUUAAUUUUAAUAGGACUUCUAAUAUUGUUUUAUAGUUUGGCAACUUAAUUUUAAUAGGACUUCUAAUAUAAUAUGUGGAGCAUCCUUACGGUAAUUUUUUAGAAUAUCCUCUUAGUCAUGGGGGAACCAAAAUUUAAAGCUUAAAUAAAAGAAAACUAUCCAUGCAUUCUUCUUUAAUUGAAUUGUCAUUUGUGCUUCUGUUUUAUUGCACUUUUCAUUAGGUUGAUUUAAGAGAAUUAGUUCCGUGAUUGUAUCCAUAAAUCCUAUAUCACAUCUCUCUUGCUUGCUUUGUAUCUUCAAGUGAUUAACAGGUUUCAUGAUUUCAUCACUGCAAUGGUAUGUUAAAGUGCAUAGGUUUUUUAAUUUCAAAUUUAAAACUCUCUCUCUUUUCUCCCUCAGCUUUUGUUGUUUCGUUCUUUCCCCCAUCAGAGCUCACUCCAGUAAGUUAUUUCUCUUAGAUUUUGUUGUUUCACUCCUCUCCUUCUUUCUCUCUCAGCUUUUGUUUCAGCUUUUAAUGUUAUGGUUUGGUGUGUUAUUGUUCUUUUGGGACUCUCUUCUCCUGGAUGAUGAGUCCAGCAGGAAGUGGAUUACGAGGGUGGGUUCCUUUGCUUAUGGGACUGAUCUCAUUUCAUGUUUGAGCUUUGAGAGCAUCCCCUCCGUGAAAUUUAUAUUUUAAAGUUGCCCUUUUGUUUUUUUCAGCUAUGUUAACUCACAAUUGUAUUAUUCUUUUUUGUUUUCCUCAUAGAUGUUCGGUUCAUAGAAUUGUACAGCAUUUGAGGAUAAUAGAGUAUUUAACAAUUCCUCCAAAUUUGAGUUCGAAUUCACAAACGAUACACAACUAUCUCUUGGUAAAACAAUGUAACCAAGAACAAUAAAAUGGCUACAUCAUCCACAAAAUAAAAAUUCAAUGAUAUGAUCAAUUUUUUUUUUAAUAUGAUAUCACCAUUAUAUUAAAUUUUUUUUUUAACGUCCAAUACCCAUUUACAAACAAGUAAUAGUGUGAUAAGUAAAUUUGUUUAUCUUAUCAUCAUCUUUACAUUAGUGGAAUGGAUCCCAAUCAUUAAUUCAAUUUGUUUUUAUGGGAUGAUAGAUAGUGGUAUCAUGGCUCAACACAACCCAUAUGUUGCACAUAUUGUUUUAUAGUUUGGCAACAUAAUUUUAAAAGGAAUUCUAAUCUAAUAUAUGGAGCAUCCUUACGGUAAUUUUUUAGAAUAUCCUUUUAGUCAUGGGGGAACCAAAAUUUAAAGUUUAAAUAAAAGAAAACUAUCCAUGCAUUCUUCUUUAAUUGAAUUGUCAUUUGUGCUUCUAUUUUAUUGCACUUUUCAUUAGGUUGAUUUAAGAGAAUUAGUUCCAUGAUUGUAUCCAUAAAUCCUAUAUCACAUCUCUCUUGCUUGCUUUGUAUCUUCAAGUGAUUAACAGAUUUCUUGAUUUCAUCAGUGCAAUGGUAUUUUAAAGUGCAUAGGUUUCUUGAUUUCAAAUUUAAAACUCUCUCUUUUCUCUCAGAUUUUGUUGUUUCACUCCUCUCCUUCUUUCUCUCUCAGCUUUUGUUUCAGCUUUUAAUGUUAUGGUUUGGUGUGUUAUUGUUCUUUUGGGACUCUCUUCUCCUGGGUGAUGAGUCCAGCGGGUAGUGGAUUAUGAGGGUAGGUUCCUCUGCUUAUGGGACUUAUCUCAUUUCAUGUUUGAGCUUUGAGAGCAUCCCCUCCGUGAAAUUUAUAUUUUAAAGU